GUCAGGUAUCUCAAGAUCAGAGCCUCCGCGAGUAGGUUCCUGUUCUGAAACUUUUCAAAUACUUUAAUAGUAGAUUUUGAUGGACUAACUUGACAAAGUGCAGAUUGAUUCUGAUUCCAUCUAUUUCAAAAUCUGAUGUAUAAUUGAUGGAUGUUAUGACUAGUCGGAAUGUGAGACUUAGAGUGACAACAGUAGCAGUGAGGAUCGUGAAGCUGUACACAUUCCAAACCAUAAAUUUACAAUGAAUGUUGUGCAGAACGUCAGUCACAAAACACAUUGUAGAAUCAAAACUCACCUAGUAAUUAGUCAUUUCGAUGUAAUAAGAUCAAUGUAAGAAAGGUUCAUCGAGAUCUUGAACAUCAACGUCAAGAUGCUCUACUAAGAGAAGGUUACUAAAAGAAAGGGAAAAAACAAAGAGACGUCAAACCCGAGUGAUGAUCAGUUACGCAAUGCAAUAUGUGAUAUUUUCAAACAAGUUGACGUCAAUACGGAACACUCGGCGAAGAAUCAUGACAAGAUCGAGAUGACCCUAAGUUGGUGGUUAUGCUAAGUCUAAAGCUUAUAUUUCCUGAAUGAAACUGAGAAAGAAACCGACUUGAAGAGUUUGUGGACAGAGUUGAAGAACCGCGUGCCAAGAUGCUCGUAGUUCUGGAUUCAGUGUGGCUCUGCUCAUCAAGAUCAAUGUUAGAAGGCAUA